GACGAACGCUGGCGGCGUGCCUAAUACAUGCAAGUCGAACGCAGUGGGGACGGGUGAGGAACACGUGGGUACCCUCGCCAUCAGAGGGGAUAACACUUGGAAAAAGGUGCUAAACCGAUACUGAAGGCAGGACCAGCGGUGCCAUAGCUAGUUGGUGGGGUAACGGCUAACCAAGGCCACGAUGAAUAGACGACCUGAGCGGGGGUUCGGCCACACCGGGAAUGAGACACGGCCCAGACUCCUAAGGGAGGCAGCAGUAGGGAAUCUUCGGCAAUGGACGAAAGUCUGACCGAGCAGAGCCGCGUGAGUGAAGAAGGUUUUCUGAUCGUAAACCUCUGUUGUUAGAGCAGCUGUAUCUAACCAGAAAGCCACGGCUAACUACGUGCCAGCAGCCGCGGUAAUUC
rnacentral:rRNA from 1 species